AUCCAGCUGAAGAGUCCCAAGAGGGAUGAGACGCGAGUUCUGGAU
rnacentral:hammerhead_ribozyme from 1 species